GAUGAAGAACGCAGCGAAAUGCGAUAAGUAAUGUGAAUUGCAGAAUUCAGUGAAUCAUCGAAUCUUUGAACGCACAUUGCGCCCGCCAGUAUUCUGGCGGGCAUGCCUGUUCGAGCGUCAUUUCAACCAUCAAGCCCCCGGCUUGUGUUGGGGACCUGCGGCUGCCGCAGGCCCUGAAAACCAGUGGCGGGCUCGCUAGUCACUCCGAGCGUAGUAAUACAUCUCGCUCAGGGCGUGCUGCGGGUUCCGGCCGUUAAACACCCCCUUUUUACCAAGGUUGACCUCGGAUCAGGUAGGAAUACCCGCUGAACUUAAGCAUAUCAAUAAGCGGAGGA
rnacentral:misc_RNA from 1 species